UUGCUCCCUGAUGUUAGCGGCGGACGGGUGAGUAACACGUGGGUAACCUGCCUGUAAGACUGGGAUAACUCCGGGAAACCGGGGCUAAUACCGGAUGCUUGUUUGAACCGCAUGGUUCAAACAUAAAAGGUGGCUUCGGCUACCACUUACAGAUGGACCCGCGGCGCAUUAGCUAGUUGGUGAGGUAAUGGCUCACCAAGGCAACGAUGCGUAGCCGACCUGAGAGGGUGAUCGGCCACACUGGGACUGAGACACGGCCCAGACUCCUACGGGAGGCAGCAGUAGGGAAUCUUCCGCAAUGGACGAAAGUCUGACGGAGCAACGCCGCGUGAGUGAUGAAGGUUUUCGGAUCGUAAAGCUCUGUUGUUAGGGAAGAACAAGUGCCGUUCNAAUAGGGCGGCACCUUGACGGUACCUAACCAGAAAGCCACGGCUAACUACGUGCCAGCAGCCGCGGUAAUACGUAGGUGGCAAGCGUUGUCCGGAAUUAUUGGGCGUAAAGGGCUCGCAGGCGGUUUCUUAAGUCUGAUGUGAAAGCCCCCGGCUCAACCGGGGAGGGUCAUUGGAAACUGGGGAACUUGAGUGCAGAAGAGGAGAGUGGAAUUCCACGUGUAGCGGUGAAAUGCGUAGAGAUGUGGAGGAACACCAGUGGCGAANGCGACUCUCUGGUCUGUAACUGACGCUGANGAGCGAAAGCGUGGGGAGCGA
rnacentral:rRNA from 1 species